GACGAACGCUGGCGGCGUGCUUAACACAUGCAAGUCGAGCGGUAAGGCCCUUUCGGGGGUACACGAGCGGCGAACGGGUGAGUAACACGUGGGUGACCUGCCCUCAGCUCUGGGAUAAGCCUGGGAAACCGGGUCUAAUACUGGAUAUGACUCCAUGACGCAUGUUGUGGGGUGAAANCCUUGUGCGGCUGAGGAUGGGCCCGNGGCCUAUCAGCUUGUGGUGGGGUGAUGGCCUACCAAGGCGACGACGGGUAGCCGGCCUGAGA
rnacentral:rRNA from 1 species